rnacentral:rRNA from 1 species
GGUUGAUCCUGCCAGUAGUCAUAUGCUUGUCUCAAAGACUAAGCCAUGCAUGUGUAAGUAUAACGUUGUUUUAUACGUGAAACUGCGAAUGGCUCAUUAAAUCAGUAAUAAUAUAUUUGAUGGUGUGUAAGUUUUGCUUACUAUCGGAUACCCGUAGUAACUCUAGAGCUAAUACGUAUACAUCUUGUCGUCGGCUUUUGUCGACGACGUGUUUAUUAGAUCCAAGGCCGACCUGCUCACGCAGUCCCGCGGUGACUCAUGAUAACUUAACGAAUCGCGUGGGAUCUUCC